rnacentral:rRNA from 1 species
UGGGGAAUAUUGGACAAUGGGCGCAAGCCUGAUCCAGCAAUGCCGCGUGGAUGAAGAAGGUCUUCGGAUUGUAAAGUCCUUUCGGCGGGGACGCGGUACCCGCAGAAGAAGCCCCGGCUAACUUCGUGCCAGCAGCCGCGGUAAUACGAAGGGGGCUAGCGUUGCUCGGAAUUACUGGGCGUAAAGGGCGCGUAGGCGGCCCGGUUUGUCAGGCGUGAAAUUCCUGGGCUCAACCUGGGGGCUGCGCUUGAGACGGCUGGGCUAGAGGUCAGAAGAGGCUCGUGGAAUUCCCCGUGUAGAGGUGAAAUUCGUAGAUAUUGGGAAGAACACCGGUGGCGAAGGCGGCGAGCUGGUCUGAUACUGACGCUGAGGCGCGACAGCGUGGGGAGCAAACAGGAUUAGAUACCCUUGUAGU